rnacentral:rRNA from 1 species
GUGUACGUACAAGCAGUGGGAGCCUUCGUAAGAGGGUGACUGCGUACCUUUUGUAUAAUGGGUCAGCGACUUAUAUUCUGUAGCAAGGUUAACCGUAUAGGGGAGCCGAAGGGAAACCGAGUCUUAACCGGGCGUUAAGUUGCAGGGUAUAGACCCGAAACCCGGUGAUCUAGCCAUGGGCAGGUUGAAGGUUGGGUAACACUAACUGGAGGACCGAACCGACUAAUGUUGAAAAAUUAGCGGAUGACCUGUGGCU